rnacentral:rRNA from 1 species
AAUGGGUCAGCGACUUAUAUUCUGUAGCAAGGUUAACCGAAUAGGGGAGCCGAAGGGAAACCGAGUCUUAACUGGGCGUUAAGUUGCAGGGUAUAGACCCGAAACCCGGUGAUCUAGCCAUGGGCAGGUUGAAGGUUGGGUAACACUAACUGGAGGACCGAACCGACUAAUGUUGAAAAAUUAGCGGAUGACUUGUGGCUGGGGGUGAAAGGCCAAUCAAACCGGGAGAUAGCUGGUUCUCCCCGAAAGCUAUUUAGGUAGCGCCUCGUGAAUUCAUCUCCGGGGGUAGAGCACUGUUUCGGCAAGGGGGUCAUCCCGACUUACCAACCCGAUGCAAACUGCGAAUACCGGAGAAUGUUAUCACGGGAGACACACGGCGGGUGCUAACGUCCGUCGUGAAGAGGGAAACAACCCAGACCGCCAGCUAAGGUCCCAAAGUCAUGGUUAAGUGGGAAACGAUGUGGGAAGGCCCAGACAGCCAGGAUGUUGGCUUAGAAGCAGCCAUCAUUUAAAGAAAGCGUAAUAGCUCACUGGUCGAGUCGGCCUGCGCGGAAGAUGUAACGGGGCUAAACCAUGCACCGAAGCUGCGGCAGCGACGCUUAUGCGUUGUUGGGUAGGGGAGCGUUCUGUAAGCCUGUGAAGGUGUGCUGUGAGGCAUGCUGGAGGUAUCAGAAGUGCGAAUGCUGACAUAAGUAACGAUAAAGCGGGUGAAAAGCCCGCUCGCCGGAAGACCAAGGGUUCCUGUCCAACGUUAAUCGGGGCAGGGUGAGUCGACCCCUAAGGCGAGGCCGAAAGGCGUAGUCGAUGGGAAACAGGUUAAUAUUCCUGUACUUGGUGUUACUGCGAAGGGGGGACGGAGAAGGCUAUGUUGGCCGGGCGACGGUUGUCCCGGUUUAAGCGUGUAGGCUGGUUUUCCAGGCAAAUCCGGAAAAUCAAGGCUGAGGCGUGAUGACGAGGCACUACGGUGCUGAAGCAACAAAUGCCCUGCUUCCAGGAAAAGCCUCUAAGCAUCAGGUAACAUCAAAUCGUACCCCAAACCGACACAGGUGGUCAGGUAGAGAAUACCAAGGCGCUUGAGAGAACUCGGGUGAAGGAACUAGGCAAAAUGGUGCCGUAACUUCGGGAGAAGGCACGCUGAUAUGUAGGUGAAGUCCCUCGCGGAUGGAGCUGAAAUCAGUCGAAGAUACCAGCUGGCUGCAACUGUUUAUUAAAAACACAGCACUGUGCAAACACGAAAGUGGACGUAUACGGUGUGACGCCUGCCCGGUGCCGGAAGGUUAAUUGAUGGGGUCAGCGCAAGCGAAGCUCUUGAUCGAAGCCCCGGUAAACGGCGGCCGUAACUAUAACGGUCCUAAGGUAGCGAAAUUCCUUGUCGGGUAAGUUCCGACCUGCACGAAUGGCGUAAUGAUGGCCAGGCUGUCUCCACCCGAGACUCAGUGAAAUUGAACUCGCUGUGAAGAUGCAGUGUACCCGCGGCAAGACGGAAAGACCCCGUGAACCUUUACUAUAGCUUGACACUGAACAUUGAGCCUUGAUGUGUAGGAUAGGUGGGAGGCUUAGAAGUGUGGACGCCAGUCUGCAUGGAGCCGACCUUGAAAUACCACCCUUUAAUGUUUGAUGUUCUAACGUUGACCCGUAAUCCGGGUUGCGGACAGUGUCUGGUGGGUAGUUUGACUGGGGCGGUCUCCUCCUAA